GAGAAAGGUGUAGGGAUGGGGAGCAGCGUUUCUCCCUCUCCCAGGGCUUCUCCAGAGGUGGCCAGGGACAUGGGAGCGUCAAGUCCAACCUGAGAAGCAAAAGGAAUGGAAGCCAAGCCUCUGAGGGCUGAGGUCAGAGAGCACUGUCCAGGAAUGAGCCAUCACCGGAGGACACCAGCCACCAGGCAGCUUCUGGGAGAAUGCCAGGAUCUGUGGAAGGGACAGGCAGGAAGAGGCAGAGGGAGCGGGUGCGAACACACACCCUGCCCUGCUGUGUGACCUCGGGCCAAGAGCCUCUCCUUUCUGAGGUCCCUUCAGGAAAGAAGGACCCAAAGCCACUACUACUAAUGCUGUU